UCUGCUCUAACGGGGUGCUCCUGCGUGAUGCCGGGGGCUGAGAGGCUUUUGAAAGCCAACCCGCGGAACCUGAUCCGGUUAAGACCGGCGGAGGGAUUAGACGCGUGUCGAGA
rnacentral:ncRNA from 2 species